CAACGCCUGCCCAGUGAACAAUUUAACGGCCGCGGUACCCUAACCGUGCAAAGGUAGCACAAUCACUUGUCUAUUAAUUGUAGACCUGUAUGAAAGGCAAAACGAGGGCCUAUCUGUCUCUUGUAGUAAAUCAAUUAAACUGAUCUCCCAGUCCAAAAGCUGGGAUGCCAACAUAAGACCAGAAGACCCUGUGAAGCUUAAACUAAACUAUUAAAUCCUAUAAUAGCUCCUUUCGGUUGGGGCGACCCUGGAAAAAAAAAGAACUUCCAAACAUACUGACCUUACAGUCACCUACCCUAGGCCAACAAGCCUAACAACGACCCAGCACAGCUGAUAAUUGAACCAAGUUACUCCAGGGAUAACAGCGCUAUCUUCUUCAAGAGCCCAUAUCAAAAAGAAGGUUUACGACCUCGAUGUUGGAUCAGGACAUCCUAAUGGUGCAGCCGCUAUUAAGGGUUCGUUUGUUCAACGAUUAACAGUCCCAC
rnacentral:rRNA from 1 species